ACUCCUACGGGAGGCAGCAGUGGGGAAUAUUGGACAAUGGGCGAAAGCCUGAUCCAGCCAUGCCGCGUGUGUGAAGAAGGUCUUCGGAUUGUAAAGCACUUUAAGUUGGGAGGAAGGGCAGUAAGUUAAUACCUUGCUGUUUUGACGUUACCAACAGAAUAAGCACCGGCUAACUUCGUGCCAGCAGCCGCGGUAAUACGAAGGGUGCAAGCGUUAAUCGGAAUUACUGGGCGUAAAGCGCGCGUAGGUGGUUCAGCAAGUUGGAUGUGAAAUCCCCCGGGCUCAACCUGGGGAACUGCAUCCAAAACUACUGAGCUAGAGUACGGUAGAGGGUGGUGGAAUUUCCUGUGUAGCGGUGAAAUGCGUAGAUAUAGGAAGGAACACCAGUGGCGAAGGCGACCACCUGGACUGAUACUGACACUGAGGUGCGAAAGCGUGGGAGCAAACAGGAUUAGAUACCCCGUGGUAGGAUAGCG
rnacentral:rRNA from 1 species